rnacentral:rRNA from 1 species
CCCCUACGGAGGCAGCAGUGGGGAAUAUUGCACAAUGGGGGAAACCCUGAUGCAGCGACGCCGCGUGAGUGAGGAAGUAUUUCGGUAUGUAAAGCUCUAUCAGCAGGGAAGAAAGAAAUGACGGUACCUGACUAAGAAGCCCCGGCUAACUACGUGCCAGCAGCCGCGGUAAUACGUAGGGGGCAAGCGUUAUCCGGAUUUACUGGGUGUAAAGGGAGCGUAGACGGUUACGCAAGUCUGGAGUGAAAGGCGGGGGCCCAACCCCCGGACUGCUUUGGAAACUGUAUAACUGGAGUGCAGGAGAG